AGCAGUCGCGCGUAAUACGAAGGGGGCUAGCGUUGUUCGGAAUUACUGGGCGUAAAGCGCACGUAGGCUGACAUUUAAGUCAGGGGUGAAAUCCCGGGGCUCAACCUCGGAACUGCCUUUGAUACUGGGUGUCUUGAGUGUGGAAGAGGUAAGUGGAAUUGCGAGUGUAGAGGUGAAAUUCGUAGAUAUUCGCAGGAACACCAGUGGCGAAGGCGGCUUACUGGUCCACAACUGACGCUGAGGUGCGAAAGCGUGGGGAGCAAACAGGAUUAGAUACCCCAGUAGUCCCUGUCUCUUAUACAC
rnacentral:rRNA from 1 species